rnacentral:rRNA from 1 species
GCACAAGCGGUGGAUGAUGUGGUUUAAUUCGAUGCAACGCGAAAACCUUACCCACCUUUGACAUGUACGGAAUCCUUUAGAGAUAGAGGAGUGCUCGAAAGAGAACCGUAACACAGGUGCUGCAUGGCUGUCGUCAGCUCGUGUCGUGAGAUGUUGGUUAAGUCCCGCAACGAGCGCAACCCUUGUCAUUAGUUGCUACAUUCAGUUGGGCACUCUAAUGAGACUGCCGGUGACAAGCCGGAGGAAGGUGGGGAUGACGUCAAGUCCUCAUGGCCCUUAUAGGUGGGGCUACACACGUCAUACAAUGGCUGGUACAAAGGGUUGCCAACCCGCGAGGGGGAGCCAAUCCCAUAAAGCCAGUCGUAGUCCGGAUCGUAGUCUGCAACUCGACUACGUGAAGUCGGAAUCGCUAGUAAUCGUGGAUCAGAAUGUCACGGUGAAUACGUUCCCGGGUCUU